rnacentral:ncRNA from 2 species
CUCUUAUCAAGAGCGGCUGAGGGACUGGCCCUGCGACGCCCGGCAACCUAACUUUUUUUAAAGUGAAGGUGCUAAUUCCAGCAAACUGACGUGGUAUCAGUUUGAAAGAUAAGAG